UUUCAAACAGAAGAAGAAGACGACGACAACAACAACAAUGAUGAUGACAAUGAUGAUGAGGACCCCCCGCCAUCACUGGGCCCUGCUCCAUUAUUCAUCCAUAAUUUCCCUGUCAUACUUCCAGCCCACACUUUUUUGCUCACAUUAGGAUAUAACUUUGCUUGUGUAAUUUUUGUUUUUCAUCCAGUUUGCUUUUCACUUCUGCAUCCCUUCAUUUCAGCCUUUCUCUUCUUGUGUCUUCUGUGAGGUCUCUGUUGACUGGUGCAGCAACGUCUUUAUAAUAAGCACGCAAUGUGCUCAUAAUUGGCAUUACCUGCAUCUUUUUCACAUUGCGUUCUUAUUCCACUGUAGUCACCUAAACCGUUAAGCUUUCUUGAGGGCAGAGACUGCUUUAAAAAGAAAAUAUGGGCGCAUUUGUAAUUACAUAUAAUGGUGGGAUUUGUUGUUAGGUAUUUGUACAUGCACAAAGUGAGCAAUAUAAUUUAGUCAGUUUUGCUCUCUAGUCCUUUGCUUUUCCUUUCCUUCCCCUUCUCCCUCCCCAGGGGACCUUGUUUUCUUUUUGUCUUACCAAAAAGAAAAAUACAAAGCACAACACAGGUCAUAAAUAAAGCAAAAUAAGACUUUUAAUAAAUACUAGGUGAUUCUCUGAAAUUCAAUGAAUUAUUUUUGUAAAUCGCUCAUGCAUGUGUAAACUUGUGACUGGAUUUUGUACUUUGGGAACCAAGGGUUGCUAUAGUUUAUAUCUAAAAUGUACCCAAUAUUCAUGGGUUAAUGGCUUAUUCUCCAGCUUGGCUCUAUUUAGAGGUGGUAGAAAUUUAAAGAAAUGGGGGCUAGUGGAGGUUUUAGGUUAUUGGGAGUGUGUUCAAGAGGGGAUAGUGGAACACCAGAUGCUUCCUCUCUCUCCUUUUGUAUCCUGGUCAUGAGGUGAACUGUUUGUCACAAGAUCCCUGCCUUUGAGAGGCACCACCACUAGAAGCAAUGAGUCUGUCUGGCCACGGACUAAAACCUCUAAAAUUGAG
rnacentral:lncRNA from 1 species